GGUCAAGCUACAAAGGGCACGCGGUGGAUGCCUUGGCGCCAGGAGACGAUGAAGGACGUGGCCAGCUGCGAUAAGCCCCGGGAAGCCGCUAAGCGGGCAGAGAUCCGGGGAUUUCCGAAUCGGGAAACCGGUAGGAGGUGAUGCUCCUACGGCCGUCGCUGAAUCCAUAGGCGGCGGUAGUGAACGAGGAGAACUGAAACAUCUAAGUACCCUCAGGAAGAGAAAGAAACCUCGAUUCCCUGAGUAGCGGCGAGCGAAACGGGAACAGCCUAAACCCUUCGUGUGUAAGCCCGGCGGCGUUGCACGAGCGGUGUUGUGGGAUUCUCCAUGGCUGACGCCGGUCGGCCGAAAGAGUUACAAAAGCGUGAUCCAGCCGAACGUUCUGGAAAGCUCGGCCAUAGCAGGUGAUAGCCCUGUAGGCGAACGAUCAUGCCCUCUUGGAGAACACCCGAGUAGGUCCGGACACGUGAAACCCGGAUUGAAUCCACGGGGACCACCCCGUAAGGCUAAAUACUCCCUGGCGACCGAUAGCGAACCAGUAGCGUGAGCGAAAAUGGUGAAAAGUACCCCUGUGAGGGGAGUGAAAUAGUACCUGAAACCGUGUGCCUACAAUCCGUGGGAGGGCUAUGGCCUUCGGGCAACGCCUGACCGCGUACCUUUUGCAUAAUGGGCCUGGGAGUUACCGUGUGCGGCAAGGUUAAGGGUCUUGAGGCCCGGAGCCGAAGCGAAAGCGAGUGUGAAUAGCGCGUUCAAGUCGCAUGUGGUAGACCCGAAAACGGGCGAUCUAACCAUGGCCAGGUUGAAGCGGAUGUAAGAGUCCGUGGAGGACCGAACGGCUUGAGGUUGAAAACUCAUCCGAUGAGCUGUGGUUCGGAGUAAAAGGCUAAUCAAGCCCGUAGAUAGCUGGUUCUCCUCGAAAUGCCUUUCGGGGCAGCCUCGGAUGAUGUGCGACGGGGGUAGAGCGACUGACUGGGUCUGGGGGGCUUCCAGCCUACCCUUCCCAAUCAAACUCCGAAUACCGUCGUUACUAAUCCGGGAGUGAGUCCCUGGGGGAUAAGCUCCAGGGUCGAGACCGAAACAACGGAGACCGUCGGUUAAGGUCCCGAAAUGUAGCUAAGUGCAUAAGGAAGUGCGGGUGCUAAGACAGCGGGGAUGUUGGCUUAGAAGCAGCCACCAUUUAAAAAGUGCGUAACAGCUUACCCGUCGAGCACUCGUGCGCCGAAGAUGAACGGGACUCAAGCUACAUACCGAAGCCGCGGGAUGCGGCGGGCCUGCGGGCCGGCUGCAUCGGUAGGGGAGCGUUCGACGAACGGUUGAAGGGUGACCGUGAGGACACCUGGACGAUGUCGAAGUGAUUAUCCAGGCACGAGUAGCGAUAAAAGUGGUGAGAAUCCACUUCGCCGUAAGCCUAAGGUUUCCUGGGGAAGGUAAUUCCGCCCAGGGUUAGUCGGCCCCUAAGGCGAGGCCGAAAGGCGUAGUCGAUGGACAACGGGCUAAUAUUCCCGUACCACUCUGCGGCCCAACACCCAAGGAGGGGUGGAGUGAGCUAUGUGAGCGCACGGCUAGUAGUGUGCGUGUAAGCUAGUAGGGGGUGUCGUAGGCAAAUCCGCGACACACAUACCCCGAGAAGCGAUGCCGAGACCGACAUAGUGCGUCGAAGUCACUGAUGCUGUACUUCCGAGAAAAGCUUCGUGGGACAUGACCGUUAGAGUGACCGUACCGCAAACCGACACAGGUAGGCGGGGUGAAUAUCCUCAGGCGCUCGAGCGACCCGUCGUCAAGGAACUCGGCAAAUUGACUCCGUAACUUCGGGAGAAGGAGUGCCCCCGGGGGUGAAGGGCUUGCGCCCGGAGCUCUUGGGGGUCGCAGAGAAAUGGGCCAUUCGACUGUUUACCAAAAACACAGGUCUCCGCUAAGUCGUAAGACGCUGUAUGGAGACUGACGCCUGCCCGGUGCUGGAAGGUUAAGGCAAGGGGUUAGGUCUUCGGACCGAAGCUCUGAACCGAAGCCCCAGUAAACGGCGGCCGUAACUAUGACGGUCCUAAGGUAGCGAAAUUCCUUGUCGGGUAAGUUCCGACCCGCAUGAAUGGCGUAACGAGAUGGCCACUGUCUCGACGACGGACUCGGCGAAACUGCAAUAGCGGUGCAAAUGCCGCUUACCCGCGGGUAGACGGAAAGACCCCGUGAACCUUCACUGCAGCCUAGUAUUGGGUUUAGGCCCGGAAUGUGUAGGAUAGGUGGGAGGCGUUGAAGCGGAGGCGUUAGCCUCUGUGGAGCCAUCCUUGAAAUACCACCCUUAUCGUGUUUGAAUCCUAACCUUGUCCCGUUAUCCGGGCAGGGAACAGUGCUAGGUGGGCAGUUUGGCUGGGGCGGUCUCCUCCUAAAAGGUAACGGAGGACUUCAAAGGUACCCUCAGUGCGGUUGGCAAUCGCAUUUAGAGCAUAAGGGUAUAAGGGUGCUUGACUGCGAGACCCAUAAGUCGAGCAGAGACGAAAGUCGGACCUAGUGAUCCGGCGGAUUCCGUGUGGAAGGGCCGUCGCUCAGGAGACAAAAGGUACUCCGGGGAUAACAGGCUGAUACCCCCCAAGAGUUCACAUCGACGGGGGUGUUUGGCACCUCGAUGUCGGCUCAUCACAUCCUGGGGCUGAAGGAGGUCCCAAGGGUUUGGCUGUUCGCCAAUUAAAGUGAUACGCGAGCUGGGUUCAGACCGGCGUGAGCCAGGUCGGUCCCUAUCUCCCGUGGGCGUAGGAGAUCUGAGAAGGUUUGCCUCUAGUACGAGAGGAUUGAGGUGGACGCACCUCUGGUGUUCCGGUUGUCACGCUAGUGGCAUCGCCGGGUAGCUAAGUGCGGAACGGAUAAGCGCUGAAAGCAUCUAAGCGCGAAGCCCUCUUCAAGAUUGGAUCUCCCAUGAGGCACGUUCAAGACUAGGACGUUGAUAGGCCGGACGUGUAAGCGCGGUAACGCGUUCAGCGAACCGGUACUAAUCAGCCGAUCGGCUUGACCAC
rnacentral:rRNA from 1 species